rnacentral:rRNA from 1 species
AGCAGUCGCCGCGGUAAAACGGAGGGCGCGAGCGUUACCCGGAUUUACUGGGCGUAAAGGGCGUGUAGGCGGCCUGGGGCGUCCCAUGUGAAAGGCCACGGCUCAACCGUGGAGGAGCGUGGGAUACGCUCAGGCUAGAGGGUGGGAGAGGGUGGUGGAAUUCCCGGAGUAGCGGUGAAAUGCGCAGAUACCGGGAGGAACGCCGAUGGCGAAGGCAGCCACCUGGUCCACUUCUGACGCUGAGGCGCGAAAGCGUGGGGAGCAAACCGGAUUAGAUACCCCGGUAGUCCCUGUCUCUUAUAC